rnacentral:rRNA from 1 species
ACACCGGCAGCCCAAGUGGUGGCCAUUUUUAUUGGGCCUAAAGCGUUCGUAGCCGGCCUGAUAAGUCUCUGGUGAAAUCCCGCAGCUUAACUGUGGGAAUUGCUGGAGAUACUAUCAGGCUUGAGGUCGGGAGAGGUUAGAGGUACUCCCAGGGUAGGGGUGAAAUCCUAUAAUCCUGGGAGGACCACCUGUGGCGAAGGCGUCUAACUGGAACGACCCUGACGGUGAGUAACGAAAGCCAGGGGCGCGAACCGGAUUAGAUACCCGGGUAGUCCUGGCCGUAAACGAUGUGGACUUGGUGUUGGGAUGGCCUCGAGCUGCCCCAGUGCCGAAGGGAAGCUGUUAAGUCCACCGCCUGGGAAGUACGGUCGCAAGACUGAAACUUAAAUGAAUUGGCGGG